CUCAGGACGAACGCUGGCGGCGUGCUUAACACAUGCAAGUCGAGCGGUAAGGCCCUUCGGGGUACACGAGCGGCGAACGGGUGAGUAACACGUGGGUGAUCUGCCCUGCACUUCGGGAUAAGCCUGGGAAACUGGGUCUAAUACCGGAUAUGACUACGGGAUGCAUGUCUUGUGGUGGAAAGAUUUAUCGGUGCAGGAUGGGCCCGCGGCCUAUCAGCUUGUUGGUGGGGUAAUGGCCUACCAAGGCGACGACGGGUAGCCGACCUGAGAGGGUGACCGGCCACACUGGGACUGAGACACGGCCCAGACUCCUACGGGAGGCAGCAGUGGGGAAUAUUGCACAAUGGGCGGAAGCCUGAUGCAGCGACGCCGCGUGAGGGAUGACGGCCUUCGGGUUGUAAACCUCUUUCGACAGGGACGAAGCGGAAGUGACGGUACCUGUAGAAGAAGCACCGGCCAACUACGUGCCAGCAGCCGCGGUAAUACGUAGGGUGCGAGCGUUGUCCGGAAUUACUGGGCGUAAAGAGCUUGUAGGCGGUUCGUCGCGUCGUUCGUGAAAACCUACCGCUCAACGGUGGGCUUGCGGUCGAUACGGGCGGACUAGAGUACUUCAGGGGAGACUGGAAUUCCUGGUGUAGCGGUGAAAUGCGCAGAUAUCAGGAGGAACACCGGUGGCGAAGGCGGGUCUCUGGGAAGUAACUGACGCUGAGAAGCGAAAGCGUGGGUAGCGAACAGGAUUAGAUACCCUGGUAGUCCACGCCGUAAACGGUGGGUACUAGGUGUGGGUUUCCUUCCACGGGAUCCGUGCCGUAGCUAACGCAUUAAGUACCCCG
rnacentral:rRNA from 1 species